rnacentral:rRNA from 1 species
AUAAACCGGAGGAAGUGGGGAUGACGUCAAGUCAGCAUGGCCUUUAUAUCCUGGGCUACACACACGCUACAAUGGGAAGGGACAAUAGGUUGCGAAGCCGCGAGGUGGAGCCAAUCCAGUAAAACUUCCCUCAGUUCAGAUUGCAGGCUGCAACUCGCCUGCAUGAAGUUGGAGUUGCUAGUAAACGCAGGUCAGCCAUACUGCGUUGAAUACGUUCCCGGGGCUU